rnacentral:lncRNA from 1 species
AGAAUCCCGUCUACGGAAGGCCCACGAUCUCUGCGCUCGAGAACUUUGCCGACUUCAUAGGCAUGGCGGCGACGAUAAAGUACUUCCGCGAGACAGUGCGACGCAAGGCAUACCCUCGCAGCGACUACCGUCUACAGGACUUCAAGCUCCUGUCGUCGGAGCAGCUACUCUUCUACGCAGUGGGCGAGGAGUUCUGCGAGCUUUGGCCAAACCCCAAGACAGCUAACGGAAAGGCGACGUUGGAGCGGUACUCACAAUCCGAUUUUUACCCCAACCG